rnacentral:rRNA from 1 species
GUGCCCGCCGCCGCGGUAAGACGGAGGAUGCAAGCGUCAUCCGGAAUGAUUGGGCGUAAAGCGUCCGCAGGUGGCAAUUCAAGUCUGCUGUUAAAGCGCAGGGCUUAACUCUGUAAAGGCAGUGGAAAAUGAAUAGCUAGAGUGUGGUAGGGGCAGAGGGAAUUCCCAGUGUAGCGGUGAAAUGCGUAGAGAUUGGGAAGAACAUCGGUGGCGAAGGCGCUCUGCUGGACCAUAACUGACACUCACAGGACGAAAGCUAGGGGAGCGAAUGGGAUUAGAUACCCCAGUAGUCCUAGCCGUAAACGAUGGAUACUAGGUGUUGUCUGUAUCGACCCGGACAGUGCCGUAGCUAACGCGUUAAGUAUCCCGCCUGGGGAGUACGCACGCAAGUGUGAAACUCAAAGGAAUUGACGGGG